GACUGACUUACCUCCAGCAUGUAUACAGAAAUGUUCGAAAGCCUUCUUAAAAUUUGGUACAUAGAUUUCCUUACUCCCUCUUGCCCAUAUUUUCUUGCAAAUCACUGACCAUCCAAAGCGCAAUUGCUCUGAAUAUGGCAAGACAAGAGGGCCUAAGGUUGUUAUAUUGGUCCUCAAAGCUGAUGCAGCUACAGUAAGAAGUGAUCGUGAGAGGGAAACACCCACAAUCUCAUUUUCAUCAGAUUCCUGGUAAACAGACUUGUAUGCUUGGUCAUUUGAUCCUCUGUGUGUUCUCACAAGAUGCUGAAGCUUGUACUUGGCCACUGACUUGUCUUGUUUUCUGCUAGAUAGUAGAAUGGCUGCUCCUCCCAUUCGAAACAAUACAUUGGCAAUAAGCAUAGACUUGUCAUUACCUCUGUAGCCAUUUGGAGCUACAGCCUCCAUGCUAAGAACUAAAGCCAAUGAGUUGUUGUGAACUUUCAACAGAUCUUUGGCCAAGUUUAUUGACAACAAUCCAGCACUGCAACCCAUUCCACUCAGGUUGACACUCUUUAUGUUGCUCCUGAAUCCAAACUUGUUUAUGAUCAUUGAUGCAAUGGAUGGUGUAGGACAAAAUAGGCUACAAUUUGAAACAAGGAUGUCAAUUCUUUUAGGAUUCACUUUGUGCUUGGAAAGUAGAUCUUUGACAAUUCUGAAAAGAACCAAUUCAACUUCUUCUUGUGCAAGCUUCAUGGAAUCAUUUGGGGGGAGCUCGUGAACUGAUUCUGGCAUGCAAGCCUCGACUCCAAUACCAGAUCUUUCCAACACUUUCAUUUCAAAGUCUAUUUUUUCUUGGUCAAAGUUGCAUAUUUCAAAGUGUUCUAUCAUAUGAGAGUAAGGGAUGCGCAAAUGAUCAGGAGGCAUAUAACAAACAUAGUCAAGAAGAUACACAGUUCGACGUCUAAAGCAGAAGUAAAGAAAUAUAAGAAUUAAUGCUAUGGCUGCUAAAGAUUGUGUGGCAGAGAUGAGAGACAGAUCACAGAAAGAAGGGUAUAUGGAUAGAAGAACUUCCAUUGUCAUAAGCUUAAACUUAAGCAUUUGAACUUGGGAUAUGAUUUAUUAGUUCAAAUGUAAAGAACUAGUUCAUUUUAGUGCAAGUAGGAAAGUUUUUCAAACAUGCAGUUACACUCUUGCUCAUGCGUUGUUGUUCCCCCAUUUUCCUCUGAAAAAAUGCAUCCAUUAGUUAUCACAAAAAUUGUGUGAUGAACCAACAGGUAAGAAACUUUAGUUCCUUGACAAAUGGUUGAGAAGGAGGAACUUUUGAUUGCAAGAGAAUGAGGAAUUCAUGACUAUACAAAAAGAUAACAAAUUAUGGAUAGGAGAAGAUAAAUAAUUACAUAAUUAUUUAAUUUUUCCAUGCGCCUAAUUGUUUCGG
rnacentral:lncRNA from 1 species